UAAAGUGGCGAACGGCUGAGUAACACGUGGGCAACCUGCCCUUUGCACUGGGAUAGCCUCGGGAAACCGAGGUUAAUACCGGAUACUCCAUAUUUGUCGCAUGGCGAAUAUGGGAAAGCUCCGGCGGCAAAGGAUGGGCCCGCGGCCUGUUAGCUAGUUGGUGGGGUAGUGGCCUACCAAGGCAAUGAUGGGUAGCCGGGUUGAGAGACCGACCGGCCAGAUUGGGACUGAGACACGGCCCAGACUCCUACGGGAGGCAGCAGAG
rnacentral:rRNA from 1 species